AUAUUCAUUUGGCAGAGAAGAUACCAUCUUCAUGAAGGUGGUUUUGCCUUGAAGAGUCUCCUCUGUUUCUCUCCAGAAGGGCUGACCUCUGUAAUUUUCCCAAAUGUGGGAAACUUGACUGCAGUACUUGGGGGAGGGGGGGGGACUGUGUUUGCACUUUCUCUUG